rnacentral:rRNA from 1 species
GGGGUCAGUAGGUUGGUCGUGCCACCGGUACGUACUGGUCUCACUGAUUCCUCCUUCCUGAAGAACCGUAAUGCCAUUAAUUUGGUGUUGCGGGGAAACAGGACUGUUACUUUGAAAAAAUUAGAGUGUUUAAAGCAAGCUAACGCUUGAAUACAUUAGCAUGGAAUAAUGAAAUAAGACGAUCGAUCCUAUUUUGUUGGUUUCUAGGAUUGACGUA